rnacentral:lncRNA from 1 species
AGUCUGUAGGAGACCUUCGCUGCUGGAGCCAUGCCUUCUGUCGCUUUGAAAUCUCCGCGCCUGCGCCGGGUGUUCGUGGUCGGCGUUGGCAUGACCAAGGUAAACAGAGUUGUGAGCAGCGAGAGAUCUGCCUCUGUUAUUCCCCGCAGUCCGAGGCGACAGGGAAGCGCGGCAAGGGGACGGUCACAGUCUGCGCUGCUGUCCCUCUGACCUUUCCCUCCAGAGAGGCGACCUGAGGGUGUAUGAUGCUGUCACUAGGGUCUCAGUAUCUUGGGCUUGUUCUCUCAGUCAUUUUUUUUUUUUUUAAAGAUUUAUUUAUUUAUUAUAUGUAAGUACAUGUAAGUAAGUACAUUGUAGCUGUCCUCAGAUACUCCAGAAGAGGGCAUCAGAUUUCGUUACGGAUGGUUGUGAGCCACCAUGUGGUUGCUGGGAUUUGAACUCCGGACCUUCGGAAAAGCAGUCGGUGCUCUUAACCACUGAGCCAUCUCGCCAGCCCCUCUCAGUCAUUUUUUUAUUCGCCUUCCUGUUUGCUUAUUCUAGCUUUUUAGUCUGUGAAGGAGCCCCCAACACAGCACAAAUCUCACACUUCCUUAGAUUCUAAAUCCCGAGUAGGCCGGCCGGGUGGUUCACAUCUCUAGUAUGAGCUUUAGGAGAUGCAGCCAGGAGAACUGCUGCGAGUCUGAAUCAUAUCAAGACCUUGUUUCACAAAACAAAGCAAACCAAACCGACAAACAAAACAAAACAAACAAACAUGUGGUUGCUGGGAUUUGAACCCAGGACUUUCAGAAGAGCAGUCAGUUCUCUUACCCGUUGAGCCAUCUCGCCAGCCCUAUCUUGUCUUUCUUACCUCUAGAGCCUUGAGCUUAGCUCUAAUUUACUUUGAUGCACUGGGAUUCUUUGUUCAGAUGACUAUAUUCUCCUAAUGUAUUGCUACAGGGUGGGUACCACAAUUAUUUACUGCUGUAUCACUCACAGUGAUAAAUCACUCGUGCCUAAUGACAGUGAAUGUUAGAUGAUUGAUAUUAAAUGGAUUUACUGGUGAAAGAGUUACUGUGAAGAAUCUUUUUGUACUGUAAAAAAAAAAAACAAAACCCAAAUUUUACAUUAUCUUAGUAACAGGUGAAAACAAAUAAUUUAUUCAAAACAUGUAAAUAGAAAAGUUGACUAAUAUGUUCUAAAACUUAAAGGGCAUCCCACUGUUUCUCAGAGGGGGAGCUUCUCAUAUAGUAAGUAGGUGGGCAGUAAAACUUUCCAGAAUAUUCUCUAGAUUUUUUUUUAAAAAAGUAUCUUAUAUGGCCCUGGCUGGCUUUAAACUUCUGAUUCAGUCUCUCAAACUGCCCCCCCCCCUCUGAACCUGCAAGUGUCCCUGAUCCCCAUGCCCUGCUAGUAUGUUGUUCCAUUUUAAAGUGUCUUCCCAUGAUUGCUUAAUGUCUGUUUAUAUGGGCUGUAUAGAAAAAGCAUAGUUUCU